ACUGACGACACCUUUGAUAAGAAUGU
rnacentral:piRNA from 1 species